rnacentral:rRNA from 1 species
UACAGAGGUCUCAAGCGUUGUUCGGAUUCAUUGGGCGUAAAGGGUGCGUAGGUGGCGGGGUAAGUCAGGUGUGAAAUCUCGGGGCUCAACCCCGAAACUGCACUUGAUACUGCCUUGCUCGAGUACUGGAGAGGAGAUUGGAACUUACGGUGUAGCAGUGAAAUGCGUAGAUAUCGUAAGGAAGACCAGUGGCGAAGGCGAAUCUCUGGACAGUUACUGACACUGAGGCACGAAGGCCAGGGGAGCAAACGGG